AGUGAACGCUGGCGGUAGGCCUAACACAUGCAAGUCGAACGGCAGCACAGUAAGAGCUUGCUCUUACGGGUGGCGAGUGGCGGACGGGCGAGGAAUACAUCGGAAUCUACUUUUUCGUGGGGGAUAACGUAGGGAAACUUACGCUAAUACCGCAUACGACCUACGGGUGAAAGCAGGGGAUCUUCGGACCUUGCGCGAUUGAAUGAGCCGAUGUCGGAUUAGCUAGUUGGCGGGGUAAAGGCCCACCAAGGCGACGAUCCGUAGCUGGUCUGAGAGGAUGAUCAGCCACACUGGAACUGAGACACGGUCCAGACUCCUACGGGAGGCAGCAGUGGGGAAUAUUGGACAAUGGGCGCAAGCCUGAUCCAGUCAUACCGCGUGGGUGAAGAAGGCCUUCGGGUUGUAAAGCCCUUUUGUUGGGAAAGAAAAGCAGCAGGUUAAUACCCCGCUGUUCUGACGGUACCCAAAGAAUAAGCACCGGCUAACUUCGUG
rnacentral:rRNA from 1 species